rnacentral:rRNA from 1 species
UACGAAGGGGGCUAGCGUUGCUCGGAAUCACUGGGCGUAAAGCGCACGUAGGCGGCGCGGUAAGUCGGGUGUGAAAUCUCGGAGCUUAACUCCGAAACUGCAUUCGAUACUGCCGUGCUUGAGGACUGGAGAGGAGACUGGAAUUUACGGUGUAGCGGUGAAAUGCGUAGAUAUCGUAAGGAAGACCAGUGGCGAAGGCGGGUCUCUGGACAGUUCCUGACGCUGAGGCACGAAGGCCAGGGGAGCAAACGGG